UACGGAGGGGGCGAGCGUUGUUCGGAAUUACUGGGCGUAAAGCGCACGUAGGCGGCUUUGCAAGUCAGCGGUGAAAGCCCGGGGCUCAACCCCGGAAUUGCCUUUGAGACUGCAUCGCUAGAAUUGUGGAGAGGUAAGUGGAAUUCCGAGUGUAGAGGUGAAAUUCGUAGAUAUUCGGAAGAACACCAGUGGCGAAGGCGACUUACUGGACACAUAUUGACGCUGAGGUGCGAAAGCGUGGGGAGCAAACAGG
rnacentral:rRNA from 1 species